UCCGGUGAAGUGUUCGGAUCG
rnacentral:siRNA from 1 species